rnacentral:rRNA from 1 species
UACGUAGGGUGCGAGCGUUGUCCGGAAUUAUUGGGCGUAAAGAUCUCGUAGGCGGUUUGUCGCGUCGGCCGUGAAAACUUGGGGCUUAACCCCAAGCCUGCGGUCGAUACGGGCAGACUUGAGUUCGGCAGGGGAGACUGGAAUUCCUGGUGUAGCGGUGAAAUGCGCAGAUAUCAGGAGGAACACCGGUGGCGAAGGCGGGUCUCUGGGCCGAUACUGACGCUGAGGAGCGAAAGCGUGGGGAGUGAACAGG